rnacentral:rRNA from 1 species
GAUGAACGCUGGCGGCGUGCCUAAUACAUGCAAGUCGAACGCAUAGCGAAAGGUGCUUGCACCUUUCAAGUGAGUGGCGAACGGGUGAGUACCACGUGGACAACCUGCCUCAAGGCUGGGGUUAACAUUUGGAAACAGAUGCUAAUACCGAAUAAAACUUAGUGUCGCAUGACACAAAGUUAAAAGGCGCUUCGGCGUCACCUAUAGAUGGAUCCGCGGUGCAUUAGUUAGUUGGUGGGGUAAAGGCCUACCAAGACAAUGAUGCAUAGCCGAGUUGAGAGGCUGAUCGGCCACAUUGGGACUGAGACACGGCCCAAACUCCUACGGGAGGCUGCAGUAGGGAAUCUUCCACAAUGGGCGAAAGCCUGAUGGAGCAACGCCGCGUGUGUGAUGAAGGCUUUCGGGUCGUAAAGCACUGUUGUAUGGGAAGAACAGCUAGAAUAGGAAAUGAUUUUAGUUUGACGGUACCAUACCAGAAAGGGACGGCUAAAUACGUG